rnacentral:lncRNA from 1 species
CGAUGUAGCGACGGCUACCAAGUUACGACUACGGCGAUGGCGACCACGGUGGUAACCAGCGAGGGAAAAGGGCGGCGGCCAGGGUGACAACCAGAGCAACGAACAAGAUGACGGCAACGAUGAUCAUCAGGAUGGAGCCGAGCAGGGCGACGGCAUGGACGGCAAAGACGACCGGAGGGACGGCGACCAGGGUGAGCUACGGAUAAUAAUGCAUAUACGAGGGAAAAGGGCGGCGGCUGGGGUGACUACCAGGGCGAUGGCAACCAGAGCAACGAACAGGAUGACGGCAACGAUGAUUAUCAGGAUGGAGCCUACCAGGGCGACGGCAACCGGAACUUGACUUGUGACUGGCGACGACCAGAGGGACGGCGACCAGGGUGAUAGCUACGGAGAUAUAUAUUUUAUGUACAACAAGAUGAUAUACUACCCUUUGUCUCUUCACUGCUAAGACGACGACGAAUGAACUUUAAUCUUAGCAGCCUCGCAGAGAUCACAACUUAAGUCUGCAGAUUGAACUCAAUGCACGAAGUGGAAUGAUAAAACACGACAUCGCAAGGUGAAGCUGAUUGGUAUGCUAACAUGAGCUACAACAGUACAAGCUAGAUGACAUUCAUGUGAAUGACAACAGUGCUCUUCACCACAAAAAAAUCUCAACUUUGACGCCCAUGAACAAUGGUAACUUUGAAUCUUGCUCAACCAAGAUAAUGCCAACAAAUUAUGUAUGAAAGAGGAUUCUUCAUAAUUUAUUUACAUUGAUGUACAUUUGUUUUAAGUGAGAGAGAAUAAGAUUGUAUCAUGUGCUUUAUAUUAUGGCAAUUUGUAUGCAUUUCAUUAUUUGGAUAUUUUGUAAACAUAAGAAAAUUAAUGUAUGCCAAGCAAAAUGAUAGCAUAUUUUAUAUACGGAUGAAAUUUAUAAAAAAUACUUUUCAGCGUUGAUUAUCAUAUUUAUAUUUGUAUAUCUAUAUUUAUAUGGAAAUGUCUUAUUUGUCGCAGUAAUUUUUUUAUAUAUAUUCAAAUCUCACUUGCUAUGUAGUUCUUCUUACCUUCAAUAUUGUGUUAGGUGCGCCAACAACAUUUUUGUUCUUUAACUUAAUUUCCUUAAAACAAUACUACUUUCCUAAUGACAAUAUUCUAAUAACAAUACAGAUUUUCUAACACCAAUGAAUAACCAACAAUAAAUCAGCAUGACUAAUAUCACCAGUAUGACCCAUUAUACUGUUGAUAUAUCAUACAUUCAUACUAUCCGAGUAUAACUCUUUUUGUAUAAUUUAGUAAUGAUACUAAUUUUACGUAAGAUUUACGAAUCGCUUUUUCGCAUGCCAUGGGUAUGUGAUGUAUAAUUAUUAUUGCCUGGUAAGUUGCAUUACUCUAUAACAUGUUUUAAUCAACAGCGCUUCUAACUAAUAUUGCUGCUGCUGCUAUUUGUAUGUUAUUAAUAAUUGUUUUAAACUUUGAAGCACUAAAACUCUAAUCAAAUGCGCUAAUGGCUAAUACAUAAUAAAUAGUCUAAUGAUUUGUGUUAUACUCGAUUUGUGUAUCUUUGAAAUGU